rnacentral:rRNA from 1 species
GGGUUGUGAGGUUAAGCGACUAAGCGUACACGGUGGAUGCCCUGGCAGUCAGAGGCGAUGAAGGACGUGCUAAUCUGCGAUAAGCGUCGGUAAGGUGAUAUGAACCGUUAUAACCGGCGAUUUCCGAAUGGGGAAACCCAGUGUGUUUCGACACACUAUCAUUAACUGAAUCCAUAGGUUAAUGAGGCGAACCGGGGGAACUGAAACAUCUAAGUACCCCGAGGAAAAGAAAUCAACCGAGAUUCCCCCAGUAGCGGCGAGCGAACGGGGAGCAGCCCAGAGCCUGAAUCAGUGUGUGUGUUAGUGGAAGCGUCUGGAAAGGCGCGCGAUACAGGGUGACAGCCCCGUACACAAAAAUGCACAUGCUGUGAGCUCGAUGAGUAGGGCGGGACACGUGGUAUCCUGUCUGAAUAUGGGGGGACCAUCCUCCAAGGCUAAAUACUCCCUGACUGACCGAUAGUGAACCAGUACCGUGAGGGAAAGGCGAAAAGAACCCCGGCGAGGGGAGUGAAAAAGAACCUGAAACCGUGUACGUACAAGCAGUGGGAGCACGCUUAGGCGUGUGACUGCGUACCUUUUGUAUAAUGGGUCAGCGACUUAUAUUCUGUAGCAAGGUUAACCGAAUAGGGGAGCCGAAGGGAAACCGAGUCUUAACUGGGCGUUAAGUUGCAGGGUAUAGACCCGAAACCCGGUGAUUCAGCCAUGGGCAGGUUGAAGGUUGGGUAACACUAACUGGAGGACCGAACCGACUAAUGUUGAAAAAUUAGCGGAUGACUUGUGGCUGGGGGUGAAAGGCCAAUCAAACCGGGAGAUAGCUGGUUCUCCCCGAAAGCUAUUUAGGUAGCGCCUCGUGAAUUCAUCUCCGGGGGUAGAGCACUGUUUCGGCAAGGGGGUCAUCCCGACUUACCAACCCGAUGCAAACUGCGAAUACCGGAGAAUGUUAUCACGGGAGACACACGGCGGGUGCUAACGUCCGUCGUGAAGAGGGAAACAACCCAGACCGCCAGCUAAGGUCCCAAAGUCAUGGUUAAGUGGGAAACGAUGUGGGAAGGCCCAGACAGCCAGGAUGUUGGCUUAGAAGCAGCCAUCAUUUAAAGAAAGCGUAAUAGCUCACUGGUCGAGUCGGCCUGCGCGGAAGAUGUAACGGGGCUAAACCAUGCACCGAAGCUGCGGCAGCGACGCUUAUGCGUUGUUGGGUAGGGGAGCGUUCUGUAAGCCUGCGAAGGUGUGCUGUGAGGCAUGCUGGAGGUAUCAGAAGUGCGAAUGCUGACAUAAGUAACGAUAAAGCGGGUGAAAAGCCCGCUCGCCGGAAGACCAAGGGUUCCUGUCCAACGUUAAUCGGGGCAGGGUGAGUCGACCCCUAAGGCGAGGCCGAAAGGCGUAGUCGAUGGGAAACAGGUUAAUAUUCCUGUACUUGGUGUUACUGCGAAGGGGGGACGGAGAAGGCUAUGUUGGCCGGGCGACGGUUGUCCCGGUUUAAGCGUGUAGGCUGGUUUUCCAGGCAAAUCCGGAAAAUCAAGGCUGAGGCGUGAUGACGAGGCACUACGGUGCUGAAGCAACAAAUGCCCUGCUUCCAGGAAAAGCCUCUAAGCAUCAGGUAACAUCAAAUCGUACCCCAAACCGACACAGGUGGUCAGGUAGAGAAUACCAAGGCGCUUGAGAGAACUCGGGUGAAGGAACUAGGCAAAAUGGUGCCGUAACUUCGGGAGAAGGCACGCUGAUAUGUAGGUGAAGUCCCUCGCGGAUGGAGCUGAAAUCAGUCGAAGAUACCAGCUGGCUGCAACUGUUUAUUAAAAACACAGCACUGUGCAAACACGAAAGUGGACGUAUACGGUGUGACGCCUGCCCGGUGCCGGAAGGUUAAUUGAUGGGGUUAGCCGCAAGGCGAAGCUCUUGAUCGAAGCCCCGGUAAACGGCGGCCGUAACUAUAACGGUCCUAAGGUAGCGAAAUUCCUUGUCGGGUAAGUUCCGACCUGCACGAAUGGCGUAAUGAUGGCCAGGCUGUCUCCACCCGAGACUCAGUGAAAUUGAACUCGCUGUGAAGAUGCAGUGUACCCGCGGCAAGACGGAAAGACCCCGUGAACCUUUACUAUAGCUUGACACUGAACAUUGAGCCUUGAUGUGUAGGAUAGGUGGGAGGCUUGGAAGUGUGGACGCCAGUCUGCAUGGAGCCGACCUUGAAAUACCACCCUUUAAUGUUUGAUGUUCUAACGUUGACCCGUAAUCCGGGUUGCGGACAGUGUCUGGUGGGUAGUUUGACUGGGGCGGUCUCCUCCUAAAGAGUAACGGAGGAGCACGAAGGUUGGCUAAUCCUGGUCGGACAUCAGGAGGUUAGUGCAAUGGCAUAAGCCAGCUUGACUGCGAGCGUGACGGCGCGAGCAGGUGCGAAAGCAGGUCAUAGUGAUCCGGUGGUUCUGAAUGGAAGGGCCAUCGCUCAACGGAUAAAAGGUACUCCGGGGAUAACAGGCUGAUACCGCCCAAGAGUUCAUAUCGACGGCGGUGUUUGGCACCUCGAUGUCGGCUCAUCACAUCCUGGGGCUGAAGUAGGUCCCAAGGGUAUGGCUGUUCGCCAUUUAAAGUGGUACGCGAGCUGGGUUUAGAACGUCGUGAGACAGUUCGGUCCCUAUCUGCCGUGGGCGCUGGAGAACUGAGGGGGGCUGCUCCUAGUACGAGAGGACCGGAGUGGACGCAUCACUGGUGUUCGGGUUGUCAUGCCAAUGGCACUGCCCGGUAGCUAAAUGCGGAAGAGAUAAGUGCUGAAAGCAUCUAAGCACGAAACUUGCCCCGAGAUGAGUUCUCCCUGACUCCUUGAGAGUCCUGAAGGAACGUUGAAGACGACGACGUUGAUAGGCCGGGUGUGUAAGCGCAGCGAUGCGUUGAGCUAACCGGUACUAAUGAACCGUGAGGCUUAACCUUACAACGCCGAAG